AUUGAACGCUGGCGGCAGGCUUAACACAUGCAAGUCGAGCGGGGGAAGGUAGCUUGCUACUGGACUUAGCGGCGGACGGGUGAGUAAUGCUUAGGAAUCUGCCUAUUAGUGGGGGACAACAUCUCGAAAGGGAUGCUAAUACCGCAUACGUCCUACGGGAGAAAGCAGGGGAUCUUCGGACCUUGCGCUAAUAGAUGAGCCUAAGUCGGAUUAGCUAGUUGGUGGGGUAAAGGCCUACCAAGGCGACGAUCUGUAGCGGGUCUGAGAGGAUGAGCGGCCACACGGGGACUGAGACACGGCCCAGACUCCUACGGGAGGCAGCAGUGGGGAAUAGUGGACAAUGGGGGGAACCCUGAUCCAGCCAUGCCGCGUGUGUGAAGAAGGCCUUAUGGUUGUAAAGCACUUUAAGCGAGGAGGAGGCUACUUUAGUUAAUACCUAGAGAUAGUGGACGUUACUCGCAGAAUAAGCACCGGCUAACUCUGUGCCAGCCGCCGCCGUAA
rnacentral:rRNA from 1 species